rnacentral:lncRNA from 1 species
AUGAUGGAAUAUACAUUAUUAAAAUAUUGCACAAUUUUAUAAUCAUCACAAAAAAUCACAUCACAAUCAUAUUUCAUAAUCAAUAGUACUAUACAACAUUGUACAACAUUGUACAAAUGCAUUAAAUUGUCAAAAAAAAUUUUCAAGACAUACUACCAUUCUUCAGGUAAUGUAUAUGUCUCAAUUGUGAUUCAAUUCCCCCAUAAAGCUUCAAAUAAGUUCUUAGAUCAGAAUGUCACAGUAUGCUUUUUUAAGAAUAUUAGCUAUGUGUCAAAGAGACAGCAACCUAACUACACUAACAACCCGAAGUCAUCUAGAGGUCAAAAUUCAGAUUUAAAAAAUCAUUACCUUUCAAUAAGUAAAGAUCACUAUUCCCAUUUUUAAAGCACCUUUGGGAAUAGCAAAUUACAAGAGAAAGGCCAGGUCAUAAAAGGCGGGAAAUGACCUAUACAAAAAUACAGAUGUCAAAAUGAUACUACACCCUUUCAAAAAGUCUUUUUCAUAGAGACAUAAGUAACCUCUACAUAUAGAUGUAAAAGAACUUUCUUUACCUGUUGCACAAGUCUCAUACAUUGUAUUUCAUUUUUGUUCAAUCUUAAUAUUUUUUGUUAUUUUUUAUAACUUUUAACUAUGAUACAUGCCCUGUAAAAAUGAAGGCACUUGUACAAUAUAUUCCUCAAAAAAAUUUGGUGAUAGAGGUAUAAUUAACCCUGAUUAAUAAUAUGGCCAUGGUGAGAUCUUAUUCAAAUCUUCCACCACUGCAUGUCAUAUAUCACAUGAAGGGUUAGAAUAUAUCUAAAUCCUAAGUGAGAAAAAAAUGCUACAAAAUAAACAUUUUUUUAAGUUUUAAACAACCUGUCAGUUAUGUAGUUAUCUCCCCUUGUAUAAAUAUAUAAUUUUCCAAUAAAACAAUUGAUGCAGUCAAAAAUACCAUGACAUUAAAUUUUGCUAAAUAUUAUAAUAACAUGCACUUAAUAUUGUAUAAAUGAUAUUGCUUAAUAUUGUAUAGCAUAUUGUGUGCUUAAUAUUGUAUAAAUGACAUGUGCUUAAUAUUGUAUAGCAUAACAUGUGCUUAAUAUUGUAUAAAUGACAUGUGCUUAAUAUUGUAUAGCAUAACAUGUGCUUUACUGUGGAUUCAUUUAUUUUCGUGGGUACCAAUUUUCAUGGAUUACAGAACACUUCCAUGUUCUUGGAUAUUUAAUUUCGUGGUUUUGAUGCAGACUACAUUCAAGCCUAUAGCAAAUUUUUCAUUAGUGGAAUAUUUGAUUUUGUGGUUCACCUGUAGCCACGAAAUCCAUGAAAAUUGGUAUCCAACGAAAAUGAAUGAAUCCACAGUUUAUUGUAUAAUGACAUGUGCUUGUUAUAUGUGUUGUAAAGAGAUUCAAAGCAUAUUUAAAUGUUCUAAUGAUUUAAAUUUCCUACUGUUUAAACUUGGUAGUUAAUAAACAACCUUGGGUAAAAUCUCAACCAAAACACCUUCUGAUUUUCAAUUAAAGAUGUUUGUAUAUAAAUAACAACCCAUUUUCAUUGUUUGUUAUGUAUACCUAUAUGCACUGUAUACAACAAGAGAAAUAGAGAUAACUUCCUCAGGCAAUUUAUUGAUGAAUAUAGAAGUAUUUUUGAAAAAAAACAAUGAAAGGAUAAAAAGAAUAAUAAUUACAAGUUGUUUAGCACCAUCACUAUAAACAAAAGUUUUCUACUGUAAUACCACCUAGACUUGUAUAAUGUGGCAAAACAGAAACUUUGACAAGGAUCCUAUCAAUAGGUUUUGAUUGGAAUAUAUAUAAACAUUAAAAUCUUUAUAGUUGAACGAUCUCAUUGCAUUGCUUAGUAUUAUCCUUUAUUUAUAGUAAGGAAAAGAAAUAAUUUAUAAACUUGAUGCCAAAAUCUAAAUAUUUAUUUGUUACCAUCUACAUGGGCUGAACUAAAAACAAUUUAGUGAAUCAGUAAUCAGUAUACAUAUAAAGUAUGAAGAUUUCAUGAGGAUGUGAUAACUGCAAGAAAAUAAAUUCUUUUGAUAUCUGUUAUGUUAAGAUAAUAAAAGGGGACACAACUCCACUUUUAAAACCUUGGCUAUCAGUAUACCAACUUAAUACUUUAAGACAACAACUUUACUUUAAACAUUUAAUAUGAAUGUUAUUUUCAGCUAUAUAUAUAUAUAUAUAGAAAUAAUGAUAGAAAAUAAAAGAAACUAAAAAUAUGAAUUGACUAGACCUAGUUUAAUGUAAGAGUUUGUUCCCUUUUAUUCACAACCAUUACCCUAAUGCUGCCCUUGACUGGAGUGACAAAUUCUAAGGCAAGUUUUUAUGUAGUUUUGAGAUUCUUGAAGCCUCACAAACGUUUUACUUCAUUGGUUUUAAAUAUUUAAUUUUCGAUGUAAACGUUUAAAUUAUAAAUUGUAAACAUUUUGUAACAACAAUUUAUAAAGGGUGUAUCACCUGUGACUGAUGUUGUUAUAAGGUUCACUGCCAAAAAAAAUAAGUUUUUUUAAAAUCAGUAAAAUACAAAAUAAAUAAGUUUGUGUAGGGUGCUAUCUCUUGAAUUUGAGGAAGCAUUUUUUCCCAAAUUUGUUAAAUUCCAUGAAGGUUUGAUGAGGUUGCUCAAGUUUUUUAAAAUCUUUUACAACAGACUGUACUCAUAUGAUAGUAGAUUAUUGCAAAAUGAAAAAUAAAAAAAAAACUUUUUUGUUGAUUAUAAGAAAAUUUUAAAAAUGUUUC